AACCAAGAAGAGUAUCUAGAAUUUUGUUUACGAGUGUUACAUCAGCUAUUCUUCAAACAUUAAUUAGAAUAAAACACCUGUAAAAUAUUUCCAGUAUGAAACUAUGAAGAUACUACUAAUUCUGAGCUAUGUUGGUACGGCCAGCUCAAGCUUCUAAUUAUGCACCUAUGAUAGUAUCCAAUUAGUGACUAAUUCUUUGAAUUAGCAAGGAAAGAAAAGAGACUAGAUAAUGAGCCCAACAGCUCAGCUAUUCUUCAAACAUUAAUUAGAAUAAAACACCUGUAAAAUAUUUCCAGUAUGAAACUAUGAAGAUACUACUAAUUCUGAGCUAUGUUGGUACGGCCAGCUCAAGCUUCUAAUUAUGCACCUAUGAUAGUAUCCAAUUAGUGACUAAUUCUUUGAAUUAGCAAGGAAAGAAGAGACUAGAUAAUGAGCCCAACAGCUCAAUAAGUAAUAUUUCGUUAACUAGAUCAUUCAAUUAGUAAUUUUGACAAAUGUUUUUUCUAAUAUUAAGCAUACAAGCAAAAUCAUUAUUUAAGUUUUUUUAUAAUCAAGAACGUUUGUGUUUCUUCAAGUAAUCAUACUUAUAUUCAUCAUAGAAUGCUGAAGCAUCCUAAACCAGAUGGUGUAGGGUGUUUCGAGUUGUCUCGACGACAAACUGGGAUAGUUCGGCCGAGAAAAAUGGCACACCAGAGGAGGGAGAG
rnacentral:lncRNA from 1 species